rnacentral:snRNA from 1 species
GUAUUUCACUUUGGUAGUACAUUCACAAAAAAUUGGAACAAUACAGAGAAGAUUAGCAUGGCUCCUUGGCAAGGGUGGCAUGCAGAUUCAUGAAAGGUGACAAUUUUUU